rnacentral:lncRNA from 1 species
CAAAGGAGAAUGGGCAUAACAUUACAUUUGUGUGCUCUGUUAAAGGAAGUAAUGUUGUAUAGAGAACUUCUACUGGAAAAAGUAAAAAUUAUUGUGUUCCAUCUUCUGAUAAAAAUGAACUAGCACACAAUAGGAACCUUAUGCAACCUGGUUUUGAUCGAAUAAAGGUUGAUACUUUCUUUCCUCAUGAUGAUCUUGAAGUAAUGGGAAGAGGAAAUAGAUUUACAUCUUUGAGCUCUAUAAGAGGAGGUAUCGAAAAGAGAAUUAUGAUUGGAAACAACAAAGGUUUAAAUUCUGCAACAUAUAUUCAAAAUGUCGUUGCACAGAAGAUUAAUGUCCUCCCUCCUGGAUUUGAUGCACUGGAAGAUGAAACUUCCUUUCCUAAUGAUGAUCUCGAAGUCAUGCAAGAGACUGUGACAAGAAAACUAGGUUUCUAAUCUUAUUUCAUUUUCUUAGUAUGAAAAAAUUAUUAUUGUUAGAUUAUUAAGGUUGUUUAAUGUUUGAAUUGUAUCAAAAGAAAAUGGGCAUAACGUUACAUCUGUGUGCUCUGUUAAAUGAAGUAAUGUUGUACAGAGAACUUCUAUUGGAAAAAGUAAAAAUUAUUGUGUUCCAUCUUCUGAUGAAAAUGAACUAGCACACAAUAAGAACCUUAUGCAACCUGGUUUAGAUCCAAUAGAGGUUGACACUUUCUUUCCUCAUGAUGAUCUUGAAGUAAUGGGACGAGG